AAGCGACCAGUCUCAAGUGCCGGAAGGACGGGGUGAAAUCCGGCCGUGUCGACCCGCGUAGGACGGAGUGCCGACGCCCCCAGGAGUCGCCCGGGCCUGCCCUUGUGU
rnacentral:sRNA from 1 species